AGCUUUGCACAGUGGCAGUAUCGUAGCCAAUGAAGUUUGUCCGAGGCAUAGUUAAUUACUAAUUGAAAACAAAAUAAGUUGCAGACAUAAGUGUACUUCAUUCCCAGACAUUUUAUAAUGCAUAUAAUUAAUGGGGUUUAAUAUUUCUCAGUUCAUUUUUUAA
rnacentral:snRNA from 1 species